rnacentral:rRNA from 1 species
AAUAGAUACCCCGGUAGUCCACGCCGUAAACGAUGAGUGCUAAGUGUUAGAGGGUUUCCGCCCUUUAGUGCUGCAGCUAACGCAUUAAGCACUCCGCCUGGGGAGUACGGUCGCAAGACUGAAACUCAAAGGAAUUGACGGGGGCCCGCACAAGCGGUGGAGCAUGUGGUUUAAUUCGAAGCAACGCGAAGAACCUUACCAGGUCUUGACAUCCUCUGACAACUCUAGAGAUAGAGCGUUCCCCUUCGGGGGACAGAGUGACAGGUGGUGCAUGGUUGUCGUCAGCUCGUGUCGUGAGAUGUUGGGUUAAGUCCCGCAACGAGCGCAACCCUUGAUCUUAGUUGCCAGCAUUUAGUUGGGCACUCUAAGGUGACUGCCGGUGACAAACCGGAGGAAGUGGGGAUGACGUCAAAUCAUCAUGCCCCUUAUGACCUGGGCUACACACGUGCUACAAUGGAUGGUACAAAGGGCUGCAAGACCGCGAGGUCAAGCCAAUCCCAUAAAACCAUUCUCAGUUCGGA